rnacentral:misc_RNA from 1 species
UCGAGUCAGGGUCUACGCGGCCCGAAACUCCAACCCUGUGUCUAUCUACCAUGUUGCUUUGGCGGGCCCGCCCUCACCGGCCGCCGGGGACCUCUGGGUCUCUAGCCAGCGCUCGUCAGUAGCCCUCUACAAAUUCUUGAUAAUAGUGAUGUCUGAGUUUAAAUAUAAUCGUUA